rnacentral:sRNA from 1 species
GCUGGGUGCGGGGGAGCGCUCCUGUAAUCCCAGGGACUCGGGAGGUUGAGGCAGGAGGACUCAAGUUCAAGACCAGCCUCAGCGAUUUAGAGAGCACCCUGUCUCAA